AUUGAACGCUGGCGGCAUGCUUUACACAUGCAAGUCGAACGGUAACAGGCCGCAAGGUGCUGACGAGUGGCGAACGGGUGAGUAAUGCAUCGGAACGUGCCCAGUCGUGGGGGAUAACUACUCGAAAGAGUAGCUAAUACCUCAUACGAUCUAUGGAUGAAAGCGGGGGACCGUAAGGCCUCGCGCGAUUGGUGCGGCCGAUGUCAGAUUAGGUAGUUGGUGGGGUAAAGGCUCACCAAGGCAACGAUCUGUAGCUGGUCUGAGAGGACGACCAGCCACACUGGGACUGAGACACGGCCCAGACUCCUACGGGAGGCAGCAGUGGGGAAUUUUGGACAAUGGGCGCAAGCCUGAUCCAGCAAUGCCGCGUGCAGGAAGAAGGCCUUCGGGUUGUAAACUGCUUUUGUACGGAACGAAACGGCUCUGGUUAAUACCCGGGGCUAAUGACGGUACCGUAAGAAUAAGCACCGGCUAACUACGUG
rnacentral:rRNA from 1 species